ensembl:misc_RNA 7SK 7SK RNA
GGAUGUGAGGGCGAUCUGGCUGCGACAUCUGUCACCCCAUUGAUCGUCAGGGUUGAUUGGGCUGAUCUGGCUGGCUAGGCGGGUGUCCCCCUCCUCCCCCACCGAUCCAUGUUCGUCCCUCCCGAAGCUGCGCGCUCGGAGGACCUUCCCCCGCAAGGAGAGGAUCGGUCUUUGGUCAAGGGUAUACAAGUAGCUGCGCUCCCCUGCUAGAACCUCCAAACAAGCUCCCAAAGGCUGUUUAUGUAUGCUCUGGGGAAUAAGUAGCCCAGGGAGCCAAUUAAGUUU